AUUCCCCGAGUGUUACUGGACAGCACGCCGGUCUCCAAAACCGUGCAGUAGGAGUUCGAGUCUCCUGGGGUUUGCCA
rnacentral:tRNA from 10 species